CCUACGGGCGGCAGCAGUGGGGAAUAUUGGACAAUGGGGGCAACCCUGAUCCAGCCAUGCCGCGUGUGUGAAGAAGGCCCUCGGGUUGUAAAGCACUUUCAGUGAGGAAGAACGCCUGGUGGUUAAUACCCAUCAGGAAAGACAUCACUCACAGAAGAAGCACCGGCUAACUCCGUGCCAGCAGCCGCGGUAAUACGGAGGGUGCGAGCGUUAAUCGGAAUUACUGGGCGUAAAGCGCACGUAGGUGGCUUGAUAAGCCGGUUGUGAAAGCCCCGGGCUCAACCUGGGAACGGCAUCCGGAACUGUCAAGCUAGAGUGCAGGAGAGGAAGGUAGAAUUCCCGGUGUAGCGGUGAAAUGCGUAGAGAUCGGGAGGAAUACCAGUGGCGAAGGCGGCCUUCUGGACUGACACUGACACUGAGGUGCGAAAGCGUGGGUAGCAAACAGGAUUAGAUACCCUGGUAGUC
rnacentral:rRNA from 1 species